rnacentral:rRNA from 1 species
GACGAACGCUGGCGGCGUGCUUAACACAUGCAAGUCGAACGGAAAGGCCCUGCUUUUGUGGGGUGCUCGAGUGGCGAACGGGUGAGUAACACGUGAGUAACCUGCCCUUGACUUUGGGAUAACUUCAGGAAACUGGGGCUAAUACCGGAUAGGAGCUCCUGCUGCAUGGUGGGGGUUGGAAAGUUUCGGCGGUUGGGGAUGGACUCGCGGCUUAUCAGCUUGUUGGUGGGGUAGUGGCUUACCAAGGCUUUGACGGGUAGCCGGCCUGAGAGGGUGACCGGCCACAUUGGGACUGAGAUACGGCCCAGACUCCUACGGGAGGCAGCAGUGGGGGAUAUUGCACAAUGGGCGGAAGCCUGAUGCAGCAACACCGCGUGCGGGAUGACGGCCUUCGGGUUGUAAACCGCUUUCGCCUGUGACGAAGCGUGAGUGACGGUAAUGGGUAAAGAAGCACCGGCUAACUACGUG